GACGAACGCUGGCGGCGCGCUUAACACAUGCAAGUCGAGCGAAGCGGCGGACGGGUGAGUAACACGUGAGUAACCUGACUGAGAAAUUGGGAUAGCCUCGGGAAACCGGUAUUAAUAACAAAUGGUCUAAGAUGGACUAGCGUCACUUUAGCUAGAUGGGAGGUAACGGCCCACCAAGGCGACGAUGGUUAGCCGGCCUGGGAGGGUGACCGGCCACAUUGGGACUGAGAGACGGUCGAAACUCUACGGGAGGCAGCAUUGUGGAAUAUGGAACAAUGGAGGAGACUCUGAUGCAGCGACGCCGCGUGAACGAAGUAGGCUUUCGAGUCGUAAAGUUCUUUUAUAUGGGAAGCGGUACCAUAAGAAAAAGCCCCGGCUAACUACGUGCCAGCCGCCGCGGUAAUUC
rnacentral:rRNA from 1 species